rnacentral:rRNA from 1 species
AUGGCUAGGCCCCAACCAAAGCCCUGUUUUCUACUCGUGCUUGCUGGUCCAAGAUUGGUAUCUCAUACAACUCUAGCAUCUCAAGGAUUGGGGCCACAAUUAGGGCAAAGGAAAAUUAUUCUCGUAGACUUUUCUUUGAGAUUUUCACCAUUACUGCAUGGAAUAUUUGGAAGGAGAGAAAUAACUUCAUCUUCAAUCAAAUUUGUCCUUCAUUUAGAGCUUGGCUUGAGAGGACUAAGAAUGACCUUACCAGUCUUAGGUACAGAGUGUCCCCUAAUCCCACUGCUUAUAUCACUUCUUUUGUAA